AGCCGUGUGCACCGGUUGCUAGGCAAGCAAUCCUACCAUCUAAGUAAGGUACAUCCUCAGCACUCUCUCAGGGAUUUAAAACACCUUUCCACAACAAGUUCGAGACAGCUUGGAUGCCGUUUUAACGUACCUAAGUGAACCAACCCUCAAAACCUGCCCUGUGGACACAUACGCGGCUCUGGGAGAGAACCCACAGGACUGUUAGAGGCCCUACUUGAGGGCGGGGCAGGUUGCCGAGGGUAGGUGGCUACAGAGCAGGAGCCACCCCACGAUCGCUGCUGCCAGCGGCCCUAGUCAAAGGAACUUGGCUGCACUUGAGGACACCGGCUCAGUCCACGCCGCUUUGCGGUCAUCCUCAGAGCACCUCGGCGGUCCCACUUGGCGCCCCAGGUCUUUUACUGUCCCCAACGGACCUGUGUGGAGCCGAGCAGCUGAGCCUCAGAACCUACAUCAGAGUCCAACAGCCCCUUUGCUACGCAAGCGCCCUAGCUAGCAAAGAACAGCCCGGUCUUGGAGUCUACUGAGCACGCGUGCUGGUCCGACGCUCCCGUUAUACCUCCCUCGCGGCAGCUCCGCCAGUGCGCAGGCGUGCUAAGCCUCCGCGGCGCCAGGAGGCGGGCUUAGGGCGAGGGGGCGGAGCGAGCCGGAGCCUGCGGCUGCGCACUCGUAGGCCCCGCCCCUUGGGCUCGUCUACGGUUCCUCCGCCGUAGCUGUGCAAACAAGCUCGGUCAGCGUCCAAGUUGAGUCUUCGGAGGUGCUGGCCGCGGACGCCACCGACGCACCAUGGCGUCUGCUGCUCUCGGGCUGACGCCGCGCUGGGUGAUGCUCCUCGGCGCCGCGCUGCUGCUGCUUCUGCCCGUAGCCUCUGGGCAGGAGCCUCCGGGAGUGGGUUGUUCUCUGUACACAAACAGAUCCUGUGAAGAGUGCCUCAGGAAUGUCUCGUGUCUGUGGUGUAACGAGAACAAGGCAUGCUUGGACUACCCAGUGAGAAAAAUCUUGCCCCCUGCUUCUCUUUGUAAAUUGAGUUCUGCUCGCUGGGGCGUGUGCUGGGUGAACUUCGAGGCCUUGAUCAUCACCAUGUCAGUGCUUGGGGGCUCCGUGCUCCUGGGUAUCACUGUAUGCUGCUGCUGCUGCUGCCGCCGGAAGAAGAGCCGGAAGCCGGACAAGAGCGACGAGCGGGCCAUCAGAGAACAGGAAGAGAGGAGAGUGCGGCAGGAGGAGAGGCGAGCGGAGAUGAAGUCAAGACACGAUGAAAUCAGGAAAAAAUACGGUCUGUUUAAAGAACAAAACCCAUAUGAGAAGUUCUAAAGCAGCUGGCGUACACUUACGGCAGAUCUUGCAGUCCCAGAGUUUCCUGGGAGUGCCCUCCUGAGCAUAGCUUGCGGAGACCUUACCACUACAACCACCCAUGACCUGGGUCAUCCCUCCAGCUUCAGCACAGGCACCAGAGUGGCCUUGAGAGGACAAUCCUGCUCUUGUUCCCUCUAUCUCUGUUGCUGAGCUGAUGUUAGAGUGACCAGCUGCUAAACGCAGAGUAUUUAAUUCUCCGGUGUAGAAAUGCAGCAGGUGCUCUCGGGACUGCCUGGUCUGUGCCCAACUCUGAGCAGCACCAGGAGCAGCCACAGACCUACGCCGAGACCGUGACACCCAGUGCCUUACUUUUUAACCACUUUCCAAUAAAAUGGUUGGAUAUGGCUUUGAA